UGGAUGGAUGGAUGGAUGGAUGGAAUCCCAGGACACAUACCAGAAGGCUAAGAUCUGUGCCUUCCUCUGUUCCUACUAGCCCCUCUUCCUGGACUGAGUGCCUCUCUUGUCCAAAUUCAGGGAUCAACCACUGUGGCAGCCUGGUGUGAGUCUGGGCACUGGUGCCAGACAGACCUGUGUUUGAAGCCCAGUUCUCCAGCAGCCUGGCCUCAGACAACUGACUUCACCCUUUUCUGCCUCUAUGAAGUGGGAUGAUACUAGAACAAUAUCACUUGGCUGAUAUUUGUUGCUGCUGGGUGGUGAGGGCGGCAUCCCCACUCUUGCCCCUCCCUGUAUGCGACACCCAGUGAUGCCAUAAAGAGCAGUCGCUCAUUAAGAGCUUAAACCCUGACUCUGAGGCUGACUGCAAUCUGACCAUGGGCUGAGCACUUCUGUCCUCCAACCCUCCCAUGCCUCAUCUGUGAAAGGGAGCUGAUGUACCUUGUGGGCAGCGCCUGGCUUCUCUGUCUUCCUGCUCAGGAGACAGGGCUCCGGGCAGGUCUGCGACAGGACCCAGAAGAUGGGGGCUGGAGAGCUAGUCUCCUUCAUGAACGGAAGGUCCUGGAGUGACCUGCAGUCACAACUCCUGUGUGCACAGCCUCAUUCAAACACAGAGAAUGCAAGAAUCCCAGCUAGGGGAUGGCGGGGGUGGAUGGUAGCCCAGCAGGCCAGCCUCCACGACCCCAGCCUGCUGACUGCUAAAAGCGGAGCUUCUGUAAAUGGGGCUGCCUGGGCCACUCAGGGUAGCUACAAGCAGCCGGAGGUCAGUGGGCUCCGGGCCCUGUGCGGUGGCACCUCUGGCUGCCAGCCUCAGGAGACUCGUUUCGGCGCCUGCUGGGACUGAUUUGUUCUCUCCCUGGCACAGUCAAAGGGCUCGGUAAAUAUUUAUUAACACUUCUCUGCGGGCGAUUGCACCUUCUUGGCUGCAGCUCCUUGGGCAUCAGACUGUGGAAGAGAUGCUCCUUGCCACACCCCACGGCUUGCCGGUGUCACACAGCAAGGGGGCCUCGAGGGAGCGCAGAAAAUCAGGUCCCAGCCCAGGGUGGAGGCAGCGGCUUCAUCUUCGGGGAGGGCUCACGAAGUUUUUGUCAAGGAGUGAAAUUCAUGGCUGGGCAGAUGCUGAGUCUGAGAGGACCCACCCCACCCCGAUGAUCCUGGGCUCAAGGCUGCAGUCACUUGAUUUCACCUGAAAGCUCUGUCUCACUCUUGGCUGGGAUCAGAGGUGUCGGAGCAGUGCUGUCUAAUAGAAAUCUAAUAUGAGACCCAGAUGCAAUUUUAAAAUUUUCUGGUAGCUACGUCAAAAAAGGAACAUGGGCCAGGCACGGUGGCUCAUGCCUGUGAUCCCAGCACUUUGGGAAGCCAAGAUAGGUGGAUCACCUCGGGUCAAGAGUUCGAGACCAGUCUGGCCAACAUAGUGUAACCCCAUCUUUACUAAAAAUACAAAGGUUAGCUAGGUGAGGUGGUGUGUGCCUGUAAUCCCAGCUUCUUGGGAGGCCGAAGCAGGAGAAUUCUUGAACCCAGGCAGAGGUUGCAGUGAGUCGAGCUUGUGCCAUUGCAUUCUAGCCUGGGCCACAAGAGAAACUCUGUCUCAAAAAAAAAAGAACAGGUACAAUUAAGUUUAAUAACAUCUUUUACUUAACCCAAUAGAUCCCAAAUGUCAUCUCAAUAUGUAAUCAAAAUGGAAAGGCACAAAUGAGAUAUUUUACAUUCUUUUUGUUAAGCCAUGUCUUUGAAAUCGAGUGUGUGCUCUUAUAUGCAGAGCACAUUUAAAUUUGCACUAGCCACGUUUCAAGCGCUCAGCAGGCACAGCUGGCUACCGCAUUGGACGGCACAGUUCUAGAAGGC